rnacentral:rRNA from 1 species
CGCGUAGGCGGAUAUUUAAGUCGGAUGUGAAAUCCCUGGGCUUAACCUAGGAAUUGCAUUCGAUACUGAAUGACUAGAGUAUGGUAGAGGAAAGUGGAAUUCUCGGUGUAGUGGUAAAAUACGUAGAUAUCGAGAAGAACACCGGUGGCGAAGGCGGCUUUCUGGACCAAUACUGACGCUGAGGCGCGAAAGCGUGGGGAGCAAACAGGAUUAGAUACCCUGGUAGUCCACGCUGUAAACGAUGAGAACUAGAUGUCAGAAGACAGAUCAUAGUGGUUUAAUGUUUUAAACCAUUACGAUCUGUCCUCUGGUAUCGCAGCUAACGCGUUAAGUUCUCCGCCUGGGGAGUACGGUCGCAAGAUUAAA